UUUUCAGCUCAUGCCUCAGUGCCCUGGGAGGGUUUAUAUUCCAGGAGGUUUAACACUUCAUGACUGACAGCUGCCCUUCAUCACAACAGACUCCAAACAAACAUGACUUUGAUCAGCCUCAGCAUCUUGCUCUUCAUCCUCACUGAAGAAUCCAGAGGGCAAGUGACUGUAACUCAGACUCCAGAGAUGAUAUCAGCUUCCUCAGGACAGACAGUCACUAUGAACUGUAAAACCAGCAGCCCAGUGUAUAACGCAGGGAGCUCUUAUGCUGAAAUGGCCUGGUACCAACAGAAACCUGGAGAAGCUCCUAAACUCUUGAUCUAUUAUGCAAAUACCCUUAACUCUGGGAUUCCGUCUCGAUUCAGAGGCAGCGGAUCUAGUUCUGACUUCACUCUGACCAUCAGUGGAGUCCAGGCUGAAGAUGCAGGAGAUUAUUACUGUCAGAGUGCUCAUAUCAUCAGUAGUAAAGCUGUGUUCACCUUCGGCGGCGGGACCAGACUGGAUGUUGGCAGUAACACAGCCCCCACCCUGACGGUCCUGCCCCCCUCCAGUGUGGAGGUGUCCAGCAAGAACACGGCCACNCAAUGGGGGAUUGCGAACUAA